rnacentral:misc_RNA from 1 species
UACACAUACAGUCGCUUGCUUGAGUCAGCGGAAUGUGGCGUUUCGUCUUUGUGCUCCUGCUUCUUGGAGGUUGUGGUGCCCAUGGGGUCGAAUGGGAGAUUAUAAUUCAUACAUCUGACGAAGAAGGCGCAGGAACAGACUCCGACAUCUAUAUUACUCUCCAUGGAUCUCGCGGAUCUUCCGCAGAAAUAAAAUUAAAGACUGUUAACUACAACAACUUUAAGAGAAAUCAGAUCGACAGAUUCUUUGUUUCAACGGACGACAUUGGUGAAGUGUGCUCAGUGACCAUCAUGUCUGCCGGUAAUCGCGCUUGUCCUUCCUGGCAUCUCCGAGAGAUUGUGGUUCACGGAAGUUCACAAAAGAAGUUUUGGUGCAACUGCUGGUUAUCAUAUAAAGAAGGAUAUCAGAGGGAACUCCAACCUGAUGUCCCAUGCUCCAGGCAGUAGAAAUAAGUAAAACGAUGUGGGUGCAGACUUUGAAUCCGGCACUGACCAACCAGCAUAAAGAGUUUAUUCACCUGAUGGAACACCUUGCUCAUCCGCUACCUGGAAGACAUUUAAAGAUAUAAAAAUGAACAUUCUUUAAAAUUGAGACAAAAAUGUGUUCUAUAGAAAGACACUAUAUUCAAUGAUCUGCAAAUUUAAUACUGCUUGAAUGUCAUUUUA